rfam:Ictidomys tridecemlineatus contig011278, whole genome shotgun sequence.
UGGGUUGUGGCUUAGUGGUAGAGUGCUUGCCUAGCAUGCACGGGGCACUGAGUUUGAUCCUCAGCACCAUAU